UACAGAGGGGGCAAGCGUUGUUCGGAAUUACUGGGCGUAAAGGGCGCGUAGGCGGCCUUCUAAGUCAGACGUGAAAUCCCCGGGCUCAACCCGGGAACUGCGUCUGAUACUGGAAGGCUUGAAUCCGGGAGAGGGAUGUGGAAUUCCAGGUGUAGCGGUGAAAUGCGUAGAUAUCAGGAGGAACACCGGUGGCGAAGGCGGAUCUCUGGGCCUUACCUGACGCUCAGGUGCGAAAGCUAGGGGAGCGAACAGG
rnacentral:rRNA from 1 species